rnacentral:rRNA from 1 species
UACGAAGGGAGCGAGCGUUGUUCGGAAUCACUGGGCUUAAAGCGUACGUAGGCGGUCAAACAAGUCAGGAGUGAAAUCCCAGGGCUUAACCCUGGAAUGCCUUUUGAAACUGUUUGACUAGUGUCCCGGAGAGGUUGACGGAAUAUCCAGUGUAGAGGUGAAAUUCGCAGAUAUUGGAUGGAACACCAGUGGCGAAAGCGGUCAACUGGACGGGUACAGACGCUGAUGUACGAAAGCGUGGGGAGCAAACAGG